ACAAAAGUAAUGUUUUUGGUAUUUUGUAGUGAUGAUAGCAAUAGCAACGGAAAAGUAAAUAAGCGAAGAACAAUAUAUGAUAGCAAUAGCAAUAGCACACGGUGGCCGCGUUAAUGGCAUAACAGGUGCACGCGCUCUGCCGCCGUUGGCCACGCCCAGGGCGUCUUCUAGCUCCGGCCCCUCUCCCUCUCGUCGUCUUCGCGCUCUUGAGCAUGUCUAACAGUUUUACCACGUCAUCGCCGUCCUCCUGGAGCCAUCUCCCCCUUCGUAAGCCCUCCGUCAGUGCUCGUCGCCGCGCGCCCACGAGAAACCUAUAGCCGACCGUCUCUGUUCGCGCCAUGGCUUCUUCCUUCUCGUGUCCUCGAGCGUAGCUUGUCUCCGUGACCUCUGCGCCUCGUCCGCUCCCCUUCGUCGCGAUCGAGCGCCUCCCCGUGACUGCUGAGCCUCGCCAAAGCUUCGGUCGGACGCGAGCGGCGGCACCCGAGGCUGUGCCUUUGCCCCUCCUAUAUAAGGAAGCCCCGACCCCCUCCGAGCUCACCACCAGCCUCAAAACCCUCCUCUGGUCCUGCCCAGCCUCUCCAAUGAGCCUCUGGACCUCUCCCCGACCCCCAUGGCCAUCAUGGCCGCCGCGAAGCUUGGCUUAAAUCGAGCUAUCCAAGCCCUCCCCUCCCUCCUGAACUCACCAGAGGACCACCCGGACCCCAUAGCAACUCUCCAGCCUCUCAUUUUCCCGCCAGAGUGCCCUAGGCCACGACCCCAGGAUUCGGCCGCCGCCGCAUGCUCUGUCUUCACGAGGCGCCAUCACUCCAUCCCUCCACAGUGCCCGAAGCCUGCUCAGAUGGACGCGGUGCUCCUCGCCGGUCUCUCCGGUGGCCUCGGCGCGUCCGGAGACUGUCGGAGCUGCCUGGGCCAUCGCCGGCGUCGAGGCCCUCCUCUGUUCUGUCGUGCCCGGUCGGGAGGAGGAAGAAGGAGCCAGGAGGAGAGAGAUGGAUAAGCCAGGAAUUCGUUUUCCUCUCUGGAAAACGUAUUUCCUGAGAAGGCGCUUUCUGUUUUUCCGGCUGAGGGCCUGUUUGUGAGGAUUUUCUUACAAAUAGGUCCCUGACAGAAAAACAACUAUAUCUUUUUGCUCACAACUCCAAAUGAGGUGAUUCCAAAGCCCACUUCUUAGUUUUGUCGAGUCCAUUCUGUUGGUAUCAUUUUCACCAUGUGUUAACAUUCUGAAAAUGCCCAUUGUGCUCUUGCACUAAAUCAGCCCCUCCGAGAGAGAACGUUUUCCGGUGAUUCGUUCUUUGAGCUUCUCGCACUUUCUCCCGAUGAUUUCUUCCACCCCAGGAAAGCCACAACCACCAUUUGCAUGAUAGCCAUGCAAUAGCUUUGGUUUUCAACUUGAAUCUUUAAUAUCUAUAUGUUUGUUUUGCUACUGUUGUCGUUAUUUCGGUUAUGCUUAUGGAUCGAUGAGUACCGUCAUGCUAUGUUUCUUGCACUCUGUUAUCAUGUUCUACCUGCUAGUAUUACUUUCAUAUUGGUCGUGCUUGAUAUUCGUACAUGUUGGGUUGGUCAUGUUCUUUGGUGCAUGACUAACGUCGGUUACUGAGUACCAUUAAUAUGCAUUGUUCCUUUGCUGUUAGUUGGUUAAGUGUUUACUCGGUGAUGUUAUUGAUGUGUUCUUGUAGUAUUUAUUGUUGAUGAUAAUGGUCAUGUUAUGAGUAGUGUUGUACUUGUGAUAUUCAUGCUCGUCAUUAUGCCAUGCUCAGUUGUAUAUGAUUCAUUGUUGAUAGGGUGGAUAGUUAUGUUCUACCCUCAUGCUUAUGUUGAUAUCAUGCUCAUGCAUUAUAUUUGCAUCAUGUUAUUUUAUGAUGGCUCAGGAUAUUGCAUUCAAGUUUAACCGGAUUAAAUUGAACUUGAACAACUAUUGGCUGAGUCAUGGUGCCACCAUAUCGAGCUGACCAGUGCAACCACGCUUACCUAAUGGGAAGGUCCUAAAUGGGUCUAUUGUCAUGCCUCUCGCCGGUGCCUCCAACGAGGGAAGGUUAUGCGCGGGCGCUACCCUGAUCAGGUAGGACGGCAUAGGCCUUGUGUGCCCGUUGUUGAGUAUGGAUCCAUUGUCCCCAUUUGGGACCGUUAUGUUUUGCCACGACGAUGGCCGUUGGUGCCUUUCGUACGCACGGGGCCACCCAUGACUUAGCCCAAAGGGGAGUUGGUCAGAGUGGACGGGAGGGUGUCAUGGCAGUAGAUCGUUUUUGUCGGAACGCCAUUGGUCCACCCGAAUGGGAGUGCGAGGCCAUGCGUUCCGUGGUGUGGGUAUAGUGUACUAACCUUUGCAGAGUGUAUAUUAAAUCUAUCGAUAGCCGAGCCCACGGACAAGGGCCCAGUUCGUGUCAGUCACACUAUGGGUCAACAGUAUUAAUAAUAACUUGAUUAAUAACAACCCUGGUUCGAUGAUGAGAUAAGUUGGUUAGGUGAUCCGUGAAUGAUCACCGUUUGGUUACGAGGUAACCCGUUGAACCAAGAGUGGUUUCAUUCGUGAUCAUGAGAUGAUCACCGGGGUAUUGAGGAUACCGAGUUGUUGGAUAUUCGUGAUGUUGUGCGAGAAUCAUGGGUAAAGAUCAAGCUCCUUGUGGUCAUUUAAUGAUUACUACGGUAUUGUUUAUACCAAGCUUGAUUUGAUAUUGAGAUGAUCAUGUGAUUUCCGAGGAUAGUAAGUGAUGCAUGUGCUGGUUACAAAGUAACCCGAGCAGAAUAAAUGAUAUAAUGUCAUCAUGUUGCAUGCCAGUAUCGUCAGAUUUAUAUGUUCAUGACAUGCUCAUAUUGUUGUAGCUGUAUCAUGUUCAUGUUGUUCAUGCCAUGUUAUCCUGAUGAUCUCAUGAUAAUUUUGGCUUAACAUGUAAUUGCCAUGCUGUUGUUUGUCUUGAAUGCUUCUAGUUA